UUAACACUGUGUGUUCCAGGUGGUUCUCUGCGGGGGUUUAACACUGUGUUCCAGGUGGUUCUCUGCGGGGGGUUUAACACACUGUGUUCCAGGUGGUUCUCUGCGGGGGGUUUAACACUGUGUGUUCCAGGUGGUUCUCUGCGGGGGGUUUAACACUGUGUUCCAGGUGGUUCUCUGCGGGGGGUUUAACACACUGUGUUCCAGGUGGUUCUCUGCGGGGGGUUUAACACUGUGUGUUCCAGGUGGUUCUCUGCGGGGGGUUUAACACACUGUGUUCCAGGUGGUUCUCUGCGGGGGGUUUAACACUGUGUG